rnacentral:rRNA from 1 species
CACGUAGGGUGCGAGCGUUGUCCGGAAUUAUUGGGCGUAAAGAGCUCGUAGGCGGUCUGUCGCGUCUGCUGUGAAAAUCAGGGCUCAACCCUGGACCUGCAGUGGGUACGGGCAGACUAGAGUGCGGUAGGGGAGAUCGGAAUUCCUGGUGUAGCGGUGAAAUGCGCAGAUAUCAGGAGGAACACCGGUGGCGAAGGCGGAUCUCUGGGCCGUAACUGACGCUGAGGAGCGAAGCAUGGGGAGC